rnacentral:tRNA from 1 species
AGUGGCCUAGUGGUUCAGACGACCGCCUGGUAUGCCAAGGGUGUAGGUUCAAA